rnacentral:rRNA from 1 species
CCCGGUGAACUUAAGCAUAUCAAUAAGCGGAGGAAAAGAAACUAACAGGGAUUCCCCUAGUAUCUGUGAGUGAAGCGGGAAAAGCUCAAAUUUAAAAUCUGGCGGUCUUUGCGGCCGUCCGAGUUGUAAUCUGGAGAAGCGUUUAUCCGCGUCGGACGGUGUACAAGUCUUCUGGAAGGGAGCGUCGUAGAGGGUGAGAAUCCCGUCUUUGACACGGACAACCGGUGCUUUUGUGAUGCUCUCUCGAAGAGUCGAGUUGUUUGUGAAUGCAGCUCAAAACGGGUGGUAAAUUCCAUCUAAAGCUAAAUAUUGGCGAGAGACCGGUAGCGAACAAGUGCCGUGAGGGAAAGAUGAAAAGCACUGUGGAAAGAGAGUUAAACAGUACGUGUAAUUGUUGAAAGGGAAACGUUUGAAGUCAGUCGCGUCGGCCGAGACUCAACCUUGCUUCUGCUCGGUGCACUUUUCGGUUGACGGGUCAGCAUCAAUUUUGACCGCCGGAUAAAGGUCGGGGGAAUGUGGCAUCCUUCGGGAUGUGUUAUAGACCUCGAUUCGGAUACGGCGAUUGGGAUUGAGGAACUCGGCGCUUUGCGUCCAGGAUGCUGGCAUAAUGGCUUUAAGAGACCCGUCUUGAAACACGG